rnacentral:tRNA from 1 species
GCCUCGGUAGCUCAGAUGGUAGAGCAGUGGACUGAAAAUCCGCGUGUCGGCGGUUCGAUUCCGCCCUGAGGCACCA